UACGUAGGUGGCAAGCGUUAUCCGGAAUUAUUGGGCGUAAAGCGCGCGUAGGCGGUUUUUUAAGUCUGAUGUGAAAGCCCACGGCUCAACCGUGGAGGGUCAUUGGAAACUGGAAAACUUGAGUGCAGAAGAGGAAUGUGGAACUCCAUGUGUAGCGGUGGAAUGCGUAGAUAUGUGGAAGAACACCAGUGGCGAAGGCGACAUUCUGGACUGUUACUGAUACUGAGGCUCGAAAGCGUGGGGAGCAAACAGG
rnacentral:rRNA from 1 species